rnacentral:rRNA from 1 species
AGGCUACCAUGGUUUAACGGGUAACGGGAAAUUAGGGUUCGAUUCCGGAGAGGGAGCCUGAGAAACGGCUACCCACAUCCAAGGAAGGCAGCAAGGCGCGCAAAUUACCAAUCCCGACACGGGGGAGGGUAGUGACAAAUAAAUAACAAAUACAAGGGCCUUUCAAGGUCUUGUAAUUGGAAAUGAGUACAAAUUUAAAUCCCUUAAUGAGGAACGAAUUGGAGGGCGAAGUUCUGGUGCCGGCAGCCGCGGUAAUUCCAGCUCCAAUAGCGUAUAUUAAAGUUGUUGCAAGUUAAAAAGCUCGUAGUUGAAUUUUGGACCUGGUCGGGCGGUCCGCCUUCUGGUGAGUACUGUCAUUGCGCCGGGUCUCUUUUUCUGGUGAGCUGGAGUGCUCUUUACUGGGUGCACCAGGGAACCAGGACUAUUACCUUGAAAAAAAUUAGAGUGUUUAAAGCGGGCAUUUGCUUGAAUACAUUAGCAUGGAAUAAUGAAAAUAGGACGACGGUUCUAUUUUGUUGGUUAUAGGACCAUCGUAAUGAUUAAUAGGGAUAGUUGGGGGCAUUAGUAUUCGAAUUGUCAGAGGUGAAAUUCUUGGAUUUAUUGAAGACUAACUACUGCGAAAGCGUUUGCCGAAGGAUGUUUUCAUUAAUCAAGAACGAAAAGUUAGGGGAUCGAAGACGAUCAGAUACUGUCGUA